rnacentral:rRNA from 1 species
GACCCCUUCAGGGGGGCAACACCAACCGUCCUGAAUGCUUUCGAAAGGAUCUAAAAAAAACUUACCUUUGGGAUCCCGAAAGAGGUCAAACUAGGCUGAACCGGGGAAAACCAAAGAAAUUUCUUGGAAGCCCCGAUGGUUUCUAAGGGCAAUCCGUCGCCAAUUGGGGUAAGGGGCAAAAGAAUAAUCAACUUUCGGC